CUUCCAAUAUCGAGCUAGAUGCAAAACAAACAUUUACGACUACUGUAAACUAAUCCACAAGCAGCAACUUCUGAAAAUAUGAGGAACAGUGGCAAGAUUACAUGGAUGUUUUAAAAAUUCAAAGUGACAUUUGUAUGAUAAUUAACAAGAAAAUUUGAAAUAGCACUUCAUAUAAGAAUCCCCGAUGCAGAUCCAGGUAAUUCAAAUGUAACAUUUUUACAAGGUUGUCUUCAGUAAUAAGCCAUUCAGCUCAAAAAGUUUCCAAUACAAACAUAAAAUGGAAAGACUGCUCUAAUUUUUUGCUCUUAUACUUCCUAAUCAUAAGGGAUUUGGAUGUAUGCUGCAUCACAGGCAAAAGGGACAUCAGCAUACAUACCAGCAAGAGCACACCGUAUGCACUCCAAGACUGUAAAAAGAUACGCAAAUGCAAUGGCUGUCCAAAAAUGCAUACCUACUUUACCCCAGUAGACAGCGAGUGGCAUCCAACGGCUCACAGUCCCUAUCACUUGGAGAGCAAUCUCCAACAACAUGCCCAUCACUACAUGAAAUCUGAAAAAAUGUGGCCAUUCCUUCCUCCUCACAACUCCAAGAUAUGCAACAAAGAAAUAUGCCAUCAGGAACCAGCUUGGCAACCUGCCAAUCGCUCCAAGGAAUGGGUAUGUCAAAAAUUCAAAGUCUUCAAGGAAUGGGUGUAGGUGAUAUGCUGUCUCAGCAUACAUCCAUGUCUCAUGAAGAGGCAUCAAAUAAGGCAGACAUGCUAGAGUCCUCCACCACCAUCUUGGCUUCUUGGUCAUUGGAGGGUAACGAAAACUGUAUGGCACAUCCUUUGAUGCUCGAGGGCACACAUGCGAUCUUCGCUGCCUUGGUAAUGAGGGAAUAGUGUGCCAUAUUCUGCCUUGAUCACCACUUAAGAGAGGGGUUGAUGCAGCAGAAAGGUGCAAGAAUGGCAAAUCUAUUAUUGAAAAAGUCUAAAUUAGAACAAGAAGGAACCAUGAUUGAGAUGCUCCACAGCAUGUUAAGACCACAAAAAAUGAGAAGAGUUAUGUUGAGAACUAGUUAAAAUGAACUAUGGCUCCAAGAUAAGGCCACUAUACCAUAUUGUUGUGUUCACAAAAUCAACCCUUUGCUUCUCAACUGCUUCCAAAAGAACAGGGGAUGAAGGAAAAAAUAAAACAAGAGAAAUGUUUAAAAAACAUAUACCUCUAUAUGACCAGGGUUUAGACUUAAGAUCUUGAACCGAAGACCAUGAACUUCUGAUGUUUAAAAAUGCAGCCUUGGGAGUCAAUCGAGGAAUACUUGCAGAUAACAGGCUACUAGGCAUCGGUUUACAUGCCCUGGUGUUUGUUUUUGCACAUCCACCAGCGGGAGGCAUGGCACAUCCAGUUAGAAUCAUUGUCUGGUACCUUUUUGAAGAUAAGGUAAUAAUAGAAAUUACAAGGGAAAUUAAAAAAAAAGAUUCAUCCAACAAAGACAAACAAUCACCCAAGUUUCUUUUCAGAAAUGCUGUACAUUUUAGCACCGACUGCAGGGUGGGGACAUAUAGGAAUCAGACGAAACUAUGAAAAAAGAAAAUGUGUCCCUCCGGCCUCCACAUACUGUCUAGAUAAAAUUCUUAAGCAAUAUUUUUCUUUUCAGAUCUAUAAUAGUACUAAUAAAAAUAGACAAAUGCUGGGGAGAAUAUAUGACUUUU
rnacentral:misc_RNA from 1 species